CUAGCAUAUCAAUAAGCGGAGGAAAAGAAACUAACAAGGAUUCCCCUAGUAACGGCGAGUGAAGAGGGAAAAGCUCAAAUUUAAAAGCUGUUGUCUUUCAGGCAACCGCAUUGUAAUCUCAAGAAGUGUUUUCGAUUGUAGCCUGCGUAUAAGUACCUUGGAAUAGGUUGGCAUAGAGGGUGAAACUCCCGUCUUUGAUGCAGAUUACUAUGAUCAUGUGAUACACUUUCUAAGAGUCGAGUUGUUUGGGAAUGCAGCUCAAAAUGGGUGGUAAAUUCCAUCUAAAGCUAAAUAUUGGCCUGAGACCGAUAGCGAACAAGUACCGUGAGGGAAAGAUGAAAAGCACUUUGGAAAGAGAGUCAAACAGAACGUGAAAUUGCUGAAAGGGAAGCGUUUGAAGUUAGUCUGAUAGGAGUUGUUCAAUUGUUACUUUGGUUUCAAUGUAUGCAACUUUUUAUCGGUCAACAUCAAUUUUGAUUGAUGGAUAAAGGUAAUAGGAAUGUGGCUACAAUUUGUAGUGUUAUAGCCUAUUAUCAUAAACAUUGAUUGAGAUUGAGGACGGCAGUGUACCUUUUAGGAAGGUGUUCGCACCUAUUACACUAAGGAUGUUGACAAAAUAGCUUUAAGCGACCCGUCUUGAAACACGGACCAAGGAGUCUAACAUAUCUGCGAGUAUUUGAGUGACAAACUCGAAUGCGUAAUGAAAGUGAAUGUAGGUGUGAAGCGUAAGCUGCAACAUCGACCGAUCUGGAAUUUUUAUAAUGAUGGAUUUGAGUAAGAGCAUAUAUGUUGGGACCCGAAAGAUGGUGAACUAUGCCUGAAUAGGGUGAAGCCAGAGGAAACUCUGGUGGAGGCUCGUAGCGGUUCUGACGUGCAAAUCGAUCGUCAAAUUUGGGUAUAGGGGCGAAAGACUAAUCGAACCAUCUAGUAGCUGGUUCCUGCCGAGUUUCUCCCUCCAGAAAA
rnacentral:rRNA from 1 species